CCACGGCGACAACGUUAGCUAAGUGACGUGAACAUGGCGUGGUGUAACGCCGUCGCUAUUUCAGUGUGUUUUCAGUUCAUGAAAGUUAAUUGUAACAUUUUGACUGGCUAAAAAGUCUCAUUCAGCGUUGGUUGUGCUAAAAGACCCUUUACGGAAUCGGAUAUUCAGUUUUUCCGGAUUUCAGGUUUGAUUGCCUCAGACUGAUCCUCUCAGAAUGAUCUGCUUGGCUGGACCAAACCCAUGGCACUGUGUGUGUGUUGGAUUACCACAAUUAACUGAGGAGAGAAAGACAGAGAGAGAAAGUGGGAGUGAGAGCCCAUGCAGCAGGCUGGGCUCUGAAGGCUGGCAGGUGGACGCGAGCUUGGACUCUCCCUCUAACACUCAUUAGUGGCUGGGAGCCGGGGCUCCUUGUGAGUGGGAAGGCAGGGAUCACAGCGGGGAAGUGAUGGCCCAGGCCUCUCACAUCCCGGCUCAGCCUUCGCUCUGGCUCUGCCAGCCUCUCCCUGGAAGCUCAUUAGUAAGUGCACUGAUGCAUAAGAGCUAGUCAUUAGCUGGGCUUUUUUUCCGUCUUCAUCUCUGUUUCCCCCGACACCAUGUCUGAUCCUGAAGACCGGUGGCAGUGCUGGUUUAAAAGACGAGAGAAGUCCAUAUUACCGCAGGUAUUCUAGACAUAUGGAUAUGAGACAGUGGUAGCCAUCAGAUUUUUUUUUUUUAUACAAAGGGUGGGGGGUGAGGGAGAGGGGUGUCAAUUUGGAGUUCUUCAAAUGGAGUCCAUCCAUAGCCCUUCAAACCAAAGAGUAAACAUUAGUGCUUGACCAGGACUUUGGCUGAGCGCCCCUUUCUUCCUCCAUGGUUGGUUUUGAUCUGGGGUAUUUGCUUUUGCUGCUGGCCAGAUCCCCUCAGCACCUGAUGGUUGCCCAGGCUCUGAGUAAAUAAGAUCUGGGGCCCAGGCCUCUUAGGGGCUGCUGGGUAAAUAAGGUCUCUGGUGUGUGUAGCGUGCCUGGCAGCAGGGUGAGCACUGGUGUGGAGGCCCCCAGAGACACGCCAUCCCCCUUUUCUAUAUCUAGCUGUUUAAUUCUGUUAUCCUCUCUAUCUUUAACUUACUCCAUUCUCCCUCCCUGACCACCACAUACACACACACACACACACACACACACACAGUCCUCCCUCUCAGCAGGCGUACUGAUUAAUGUUAGCCAGUUGUACUCAUAAACAUUUACAACUUCCAAAGCAUUUGCAACAGGACCCAUGUGUGCCCAAUAUCAUUGAAUUAACUUGAUCACUUGUUCAAGCAGAUUGCUCAAAUAAAAAGGAAACAAACCAUUUCAGAUUUUGUUGAGACAAUACCCAGUUAUUCAUAUGAGUUUUUAGUUUGCAGAUGGAUAUUAACCACUGUUAGAAUGUAAAGUCCUGUAAUUAAAAGUGUUUGAGCAUCAUGUAGGAUCAAGCUUCUGUCUCUGAGGAACAGUUUGGCAUUUAGUAAGUCUUUAAAUGUCAGAAAGAUAAAUGAUAAUGAUAGCACCUGUAAUAAAGUAAUUACUUUCACAAUGGUAAUCUUCCUAGCCCACAAACAAAUGGAUUUCAUAUACUACUGAAAGAUUAAACUAUUUAACACCUCAUGUCUCCAUGACUUAUUAAAACAAAAAGUGGCCAUAGGGGACCAGCAAAAUAUUGCAGUGUUGAUAUUGCUCAACCUACAUAUUGUGUAGCUUGUUUUGUAGCUUUCAGUUCAACAAAGGCAAACAGUAUCCUCUUGUAAAAGAUGCAACCCUUAUGCCCAAGUUUCCCAAGUAAUUGUAUAUUGUUCAGCAGUUGAUAUUAUAUAAGAACGUGCAUUCAGUGGUGGAGUAACAGAUAAGUGGAUAAGUUUAUAUGCUUUAGUGUCAUUCAGUCACUGUAAUGAGGGAUUUGCCUUUGUGAAAGUUUACUGAGUCAGAUCUCAUCAGCUUAAUGUGAUCUGGCGCUAGCCAUGCUGGAUCCCCUUAUGCCAAUUAAUCCAGGUUGUAACUCACAGACUCCUGCUGACCAAUUCACAUCCAUUGUUGAUAGUUUUUGGCUGCAGGAGCCUUAAACCUCCUUGUUAGAGCCAAAAACCACAAGAAACCCACCACCUCUUUCAGCCCCAUCAUAUUGUCUGUUGAUUGCCAGCAAUUAGUAAAGCCAGGCGGGCUGAGAAAUGACAAGAUGGGGCAUGGCGAUUGCAAUGCAUGAGCGUUGUUGGCUCACACUCCAGCUGAAAGCCUCUACAAUGUUUGUUAACCCUGGGGGUCAGACUGAUUCACUAGCGCAGACAGAAAACAAGAUUUAUGUUGCACAAAUCAAUACGCAGUCAGACUUUUACCAUUGUGGAACACCAAUCCAGGCACUUCUCUCUAUCAGUCUAACAUGACACUAAUGUGUUUUUAUUCCUGUUUAACCCAGCCAGUGAUGAAUCUGUUGGCAGGCCAAGACAGAGACAGUGAGAGGCAGGCCGCCCUUGAUUAGUUGGGGAACACAUGGCAACAUGCAGAGGCUGAUGCAGUGGCGUGUCAUGGAGGCAAUGGCCUAUCAGUCUUCAGGUUUCCUGCUGGGAGUUGUUUAUCCACUGUUUAUUCAUUGUGAGAGGAAUCGGCAAUUUACAUCCCAGCGCCUGACAGUGUAUCAAAUAAACUAAUGACAGUGUACUUGGGUGCUGAUCCCACUCAGUGCUGUCUUAAGUAAAUUAGAAUGAAUGCAGUUCUUCAAGUUCUCCUCACUGGGAGUGUUCACUAACCAACCUAACCGGUCCUCUUUAUUCUCCCUGCCAUCAGCUCUGAUCUCAUUAACAUUGCUUGUCAACUGAACACAAAAGGACACACACCUGGCAGAACACAUGCCACAAACAACUCCAGAGUAAAUUAUUGUACAGUAGGAAGCUCUUACAAGCUGGCAGGCCAAUAAUGUAAAAUUUGCUUAAUGUCCAACCCCCGCUUACCCUGUUAAAGGAGGAAAUUGGAAAGUGACAUGAGUGACAAGUGGUAUUCUCUGAGCAUUGACCAGCAGGCACAAUAGAGGAGCUGAGCCCGGUGCCAAGCUCUAUUUCAGGGGCUGCAUUCCAAUUGAUUAGGAGGCUUGUGAAACAAACGCUGGUGACAGAAACGAGAGUACGGCCCUGGCAACUGUUGGGCACGGUGCCAGGUGUGCAGUCUUUCCUCGCAGCUCUCUCUCUCUUUCUCUCUCUCUCUCUCUCUCUCUCUCUCUCUCUCUCUCUCUCUCAGUUUCUCUCUCAUACACACAUUAUUGGAGCAUUAAUGACACCCACAAUGUGACCACUGGGAUAAGUUAGCAGCAUUAUCUCUCUGUAUGUGAUUAUGUAUUGGACCAGCUUUGCUUGUUUCCUUGAAUUCCACUAAUAGAAAGGUUGUGAGCCAGAACUCUUGAAAUGAUUAACUGCUUUUUACUGUAAAGGGCAUUUUACAGGAUUUUUGGAACGUAAAAAUAUUCCUAUAUCUGCAUUAAAGGCAGUCCUUGACAACGAGUCUCAGAUUGUGCCUCAGUGAAGUAUAAUUCUGAAGUGCUUUGAGUAUUUUGGCCUUCAAACUAUACAUCUAUGUAUAUGUGUAUGUGUAUGUGAGUGUGGCAUAGAGAUAUUGUGUGUGAGGCUGUGUGUGUGUGGGUACAAGGGCAAACGGGUGCAUGUGUCUGUGCAUAUGCCUGGUCUUAGCAGCAGCACCCUGUAAACCCCGGCUUUUCUUUAUAGUGAAGUUGAUUGGAUAAACAGUCUGAGUCUGGAUUAUUGUACUGGAAAAUGAAAGCAUAUGCACAAUUUGCAUUUUAAUGAGCAAGUGAGCAUUAUAAAACAAACUGUUCUGGCAACAGCAACUCUUACAAUAAAACUGUGGCUUGUUAUAGCAAUCAGAUAUUUUAUCAACACAUAUUUGAGCACAUUUGUAGAUCAGUUAUCAUUAUAAUUCCAUUGUGACCACUUAGGAUGGAUUUAGAAUUCAUUUUAAAUUAAUUUGAGCAGCUUUUUGUUUUAUCUUGUUUUGGUUUUCUGUAUAUUCAGUAUACACCAUGUCAUGUGUUGCAUCUUGCUCUUUGCAAAUCUGCUUUGAUUGUGACACGUAUGAGUAAGUCAUGCAUAAAAUUUAUGCAUGGCUGAUGCAAAGUUCAGUAGGCCUGCGCCAAACAAAAUGCUGUUCAAUUAAAAGGGAAGUAAUGGCAUCCUAUAUAAUAAAGGAUAUCUGUGCAUACAUAAACUGACAGAAAAGCAUGAUGGCUCAUUCACGUCAUGCUAUGUAAUUUAGUUAAUGCAUUUCCCCUUGCUCUUUAAAACACUUGCACAUUCAAAUUUGCCAUCAUAAUCUCUAUGACAGAGGACAUUAAUUAUGUUCGUUGGCUGAUCGCUGUUUCUUCACAACAUCCCUGAUUAAAAUUUCACACAUUGUAAUGAUGUGCUUCAGAGCUAGAAGCUGUGAAAUUUACUAAGCAGUCAGCGAGCUUGAAUUCUUAUUCUUGGGUGGUUCACCCAGCACAAAAAACCCCACAUAUAAUCCAAAUCAAAGCUGUUAAGUGCUUGAGGAAAAGCUUUAUUUACAUGCUAAUGGCAAUAUAUCUUAGCAACUUAUUCAUUAAAAUAUUGUGCAAAUGAGGGAACAACAAAGCAGUAACUUCUCUCCAGAUAUGUGGGUUCAAAUUUCAUAUUUGGGAAGUUUAAUUAAGCAAUAGAUUAUAUUUUGCAAGGAGUGUUCACUUUAAUGAAUCUCCAGAGACCGCAGAUAAACACUCCAAUAGUAUCAAAGCAUCCAUCUCUUUAAUGGAUGCGAAAAUUAGGGAUGUAAAUGGCUUUGAGCCUUUAUUUUCAUUGCUCGUGGGAAUAUUUACCGGAUGCAGGCGACACUUAUGUAACCUACAUUAUGCAUAUACUUUCAUUUUUGGAAACCACAUGAAUUGUGGUUCACCAUUUUCAAGGACAAACACUAAACACUUAUUUAAAGCAUGCUUUUAACAGCUGCACCUGUCAAAAAAAAUGAAGCAAGGAAGCUUUUCAUCUUUUUUUUUUUUUUUUUUAACCUAAUUUUAAGUGGAUUUAAAUAUGCAGACUAUCUUAAACAUUGUGAAACACUGCUAGCACAGAUUCUGAUUCUCCCUCUUCUGUUUGGGUGAGCUCUUAGUUCUACCACAGAGCAUAUCUUGAAAGAACCACUGGCCAUUUUAGCUUUUCCAAUAAGAUGUUUGCCUGAGUGUGGCUCUAUAUUCUGCAAUCCCGAAACAGUGCAGAGUCAGUGAACCCUGGUACAUUGUGUGAUGGAGGAGUGCUACGUGCCCAACAUUCACCUCUGCGAGGCCGGCUGUUGUUUAUCCCUGUAAUGUCCAUUUUAUUGGGAAUCUCAGCGAGCCUUCACACUACCUGCUGUGCUCAGCAGUGUGGAGAAGCCAGGGCCAGUAGAGUGGUGGUCAGUGCCUGUCAAUCACAAUCACAAGGAUCAGUUAGCAGCCAUCAGUCUGAGAAAGCAUACCCAGAUGUUGCCUGUCUUCUAUCUCUUGAUGUUCUUCUUUCAUAUGUUGUCCUUUUUCCAUCACUUGUUGUUUGAGCUUUCUACUUUUACACACUAUAAACUAAUGUUGUUGGACACUGAUUAUUUUACUCCAUGUUUGUUUUAAUGAUUAUAUUGCUUAGAGAUAUAGAGAGAAAUAUAUUCCUAAAGUUAAAGAGGAUGGAAAAAAAUGUGUUAUUUUCAACCCCAAAGGCGGCUGUUUGUUUCUGUGUUUGUGCUGGAGCCUAUAAAAGGGAGGGCUGAUGUUGGGGAAGAGAGCAGUCAGAGGUGAUAAGAAGGGAGCAUCACAAUAUACUCAAGCUGCUGCAAAACAAACACAAAACAUUGAUUAUAUCAUCUUCACAGACACCCAAAGCUCACCAUAGUUGAUGUUUACCUGACAUGAAGUAAACAGCACGUUGGACUGUAGACUUCUACUCUGCAUUUCAUUUGCUGCCGUGCCCCCGGUAUAUGUACGUCUCUGACCUGUUCCCGCCCCUAAUUUCCCCCAUCAUAUUCAGAGCAGACCUGCCAACAGUCAGCUUCAUUACAGCCAAUAUCUUAAAUCACCUCUCAUGUGUUUCCCACCAGUUUGGAGCUUGGUCUCCUCUGAAUCGCAGUCAUUUUAAUGUUCCUGUGCUGAUUGCGGGUGCAGGUGGUAAUACAUUAAGGGACUGAGACAGCCAGUGGCACAGUGCUGAAAGACCUUUAUCCAUUUGCACUAAGUUUCCCCUCACAUUCGGAGGCAUGUCGUUCUAAUUAGGCCAAUGGUUUUGACUGUGGCCAUAUUCAUAUGGGACAGCUCACUUUAAGUUGUACAACAAGGUGAUUCUACAUCAUAUAUAUUCCACCAGGUCAAUAGAUUGUGCCAUGGUCUAGGGAAUUUCAAGAAGAAAUUGUACAUUAAUGAAAGUGGAGAAUGACUGGAGAGAAGAAUUGCAACAGGGUUACUGCUCUUUUCCUCUCCAUCUUUUAAGUAGAGGAGCCUCACAUCUCGUGAGAGAUGAGCAUAUCUGGGGUGUAAAAUAUUACAGAUGAUGCUUUUUUGUUUCUGUGGCGGUACAAAUGAAGACGUGUUUAGAGCUACCUCAGCAGAAAGUCUAUUUACAGAUUUGUAUAUGAAAUAAUUCAUGUGAGGAAACUUGUGUUUCACAGUGCUGCAUGACAAAUCAAAGGUAUUGGUUCAAUUCUCUAAAAACAACUUGUCUCUAUGUUUGAACCACAGUGAGCUCCCAGUACGUCUGUCUCUCAAUGAUGAGCUCUUCUGGCAGGUAAAAGCUUCAGAAAGCCCUCGGUCCAUUUCCAUUCUAGCUUCCAGCAGUGUGAGUGGUGUGACAGCCUCUUGGGGCAAAGGGAUUAUUGAGAUCAGGCCUCCCCCAGCUCUAUGCCUCUAGCCCAGCCCGCCAAGCUAGCCCAGUCGGUUCCUCAAGCCCCCCAGUGUCUUACAGAACAGCCCACCAGGCGCACAGAGAGCAAAGAGGCACCAGGGACCCCUCUAAUUGUCCAUGCUUUGGGCGGCUCUUUGGCAAGCCAGCAUGAAGAAGGCCCCCAGUCCCUAGGCUGUCCCACUGCUCCCUACUCAGCCCUUGCUCAGAGAUUCUGAGGACGAUAUAUCUGCUUUGAGGCUUUAUGUUUCUGAGGCCGUCAUAUAGUGCAGCUGGAAAUUGUGAAUUUCUCUGAAAGUGUGCUUUCAGCAGGUCAGUGGUGGUGUUAGAGCAGGGUCAUAUUCAAAACUCUUCAAAUGAUCCACAUGAUUCUUGGCUUAAACAUGUUGUGAAUUGUAUUCAGUGUUUCUCUUGCACAUUUGAAAGUGUUAGUGCAUUUGCUGUUAAUUUUGGAAGUCAAAAUCCCAACAAAAUAUACAUGUUUAUUUUUAAAGAGUACGCAAUAUACUGUGCAUAUUUUUUACAUAGAUAUUUGUUUUGAAUCAUUUUGACAUAGAUAUUUCAGUGGAAGUGUGAUCUGUCAAUAAAUAUUUGUCAUGAAAAAGCACCAAAAUAUGUUUAAAGUGUAUGUUUGAUGUGUGUAAAAGUGGCACAGGGGUAAUCGGGAUAUUCUUAGACAUUUUUCCAAUAGUUAAGGAAUCAGUAUAGGUUAUCUGGUUAACAUAGUUGCAAAAAUAUCAGCUGUGUAUAUAUCAGUAUGCUGCAAGUAAUAUAACUGUAAUAAUCUGAACAUUGUGAAUAGAUACUAUAGUUAAAAAUACCCAUAAACAGGAACAAUAACACAUGCUUUGUUAAUUUCAUAUAUUUCUAUUUGUUGUGUCUCAGAGAUAUAAAAUUUCUAAAACAGAGCUGCUGUUAACGUACUAGUGAGAGCUGGAGGAACGGCUGCUGGGAACUGGAUGAGGACUGACAAGGCCACCCAUACAAAGGAAGGGGCAGCCUCCUGUCAUCCAGUGGGGGGAGGGGAGGCCAAUGAACAUGUACAGCCACAAUAAUAAACACACAAUUACUUUGA